rnacentral:tRNA from 1 species
GGGAAUGUAGCUUAGUGGUAGAGUGCUUGCCUUGCAUGCAUGAGGCCCUGGGUUCGAUUCCUCAGAACCA